UGGGGAAUAUUGCACAAUGGGCGCAAGCCUGAUGCAGCCAUGCCGCGUGUAUGAAGAAGGCCUUCGGGUUGUAAAGUACUUUCAGCGGGGAGGAAGGUGUUGUGGUUAAUAACCACAGCAAUUGACGUUACCCGCAGAAGAAGCACCGGCUAACUCCGUGCCAGCAGCCGCGGUAAUACGGAGGGUGCAAGCGUUCAUCGGAAUUACUGGGCGUAAAGCGCACGCAGGCGGUCUGUCAAGUCGGAUGUGAAAUCCCCGGGCUCAACCUGGGAACUGCAUCCGAAACUGGCAGGCUUGAGUCUUGUAGAGGGGGGUAGAAUUCCAGGUGUAGCGGUGAAAUGCGUAGAGAUCUGGAGGAAUACCGGUGGCGAAGGCGGCCCCCUGGACAAAGACUGACGCUCAGGUGCGAAAGCGUGGGGAGCAAACA
rnacentral:rRNA from 1 species